rnacentral:rRNA from 1 species
CUGCUGCCUUCCGUAGGAGUCUGGUCCGUGUCUCAGUACCAGUGUGGGGGGCCUUCCUCUCAGAACCCCUACGCAUCGUCGGAACGGUGGUCCGUCACACCGCCGUCUUCCUAAUGCGCCGCAUGCCCAUCCGCCACCGGAAUUAACCUUUGGCACCAACAGGAUGUCCCGUCGAUGCAUUAUGCCGUAUUAGACGGAAUUUCUCCCGAUUAUCCGGCUGUGGCAGGCAGGUUGCAUACGUGUUACUCA